rnacentral:lncRNA from 1 species
GGGUCUAAUUGGAUUAGAUCAUAUUUGCAAAAUUGAUAUGCUAGCAUAUGUUACAAAAACUAGCUCCCUAUUUCGAAUCGGGUUCGAAAUUGAAUCCAGAUUGGGCUAAUUAAGGCCAAAUUAAUUUAAACCAAUUUUAGAGUUGAGUUGGGUCAGCCCAUAGCUAUAUUUAUCAAAAAAUUUAAAGCUAGAAAACUAAAUCUCCAUGAGU